UGGGGAAUAUUGCACAAUGGACGGAAGUUUGAUGCAGCGACGCCGCGUGGAGGGUGUAGGCCUUCGGGUUGUGAACUCCUUUUUCUCGCGAAAAAGGCACAGUUUUGGCUGUGUUGAUGGUAGUGGGGGAAGAAGCGCCGGCUAACUACGUGCCUGCAGCCGCGGUAAUACGUAGGGCGCGAGCGUUGUCCGGAUUUAUUGGGCGUAAAGAGCUCGUAGGUGGUUCGUCGCGUCUGUCGUGAAAGCCAGCAGCUUAACUGUUGGUCUGCGGUGGGUACGGGCGGGCUUGAGUGCGGUAGGGGUGACUGGAAUUCCUGGUGUAGCGGUGGAAUGCGCAGAUAUCAGGAGGGACACCGAUGGCGAAGGCAGGUCACUGGGCCGUUACUGACACUGAGGAGCGAAAGCGUGGGGAGCGAACAGG
rnacentral:rRNA from 1 species